UCCUGCGAAAAAUGUGAUGCAAAAGCAAUUGGAAAAAGAUGUGGUGUCUAUAGAGGAAGAAGUGGAUGAAAAGAUUACUCUGAGUGAAGCAAGCACAAGCCAA
rnacentral:ribozyme from 1 species